rnacentral:rRNA from 1 species
AAUAUAGCAUAUCAGUAAGCGGAGGAAAAGAAACUAACCAGGAUUCUUCUAGUAACGGCGAGUGAACGAAGAUUAGCCCAUCACCGAAGUCUAUCCGCUUUUGUGGACAGGACAAUGUGGUGUUAAGGCGCGCGCCUUGGUUCCGUUGACCUGCUCAAAGUCCAAUUAUGAUUGUGGCUUUGUAUAUUGCCAUAGAGGGUGAAAGCCCCGUUUGGGCAGGAUUGGAUAUUUCAACGGUGCCUCGAUGCGUGUGCUGUCGAGUCGGAUUGCUUGAGAAUGCAGUCCAAAGUGGGUGGUAAACUCCAUCCAAGGCUAAAUACUGGCACGAGUCCGAUAGUAGACAAGUACCGUGAGGGAAAGUUGAAAAGUACUCUGAAGAGAGAGUAAAUAGUACGUGAAACCGCUUGCAGAGAAUCAGGUGGAGUCAAGCUACAUGCUUGGAGGUUUGGUGUGCGGCCUUUUUUUAGUGAUCGGAUAUGGAGUGGCAUAGCUUGGAACAGGUUUGGUGCAUCCGUGCGCUUCAAGUCAUUCUGGGCAGUGUGAUUGAAUGUUGCUCCUAGCUCCGGGGUCGUAUGCGGAAUCUUCCACUGGCAUGAACCACGGUUCAUAGUGGGUGUGCAUCGUGAUAGUCUAACAGUGCUUUGGUCGAUAUCUAUUGGCUGGGCGCUGAAGGGAAGGUGGUAUCCCCAGGGUUUCGGCCCCGCUUCGGCGUGGAUACUUAUAAUACGGUCUCGACCGUCUGGCUAUCAUGAGCGUGACGCAUCCCCGCUAUGUGAAAGAGAACUAAAGCUGUCGAGCGCGCCAUCUACGGAUCGUGCGCCUGUCAAUGACCGUGGUGUUGUGGUAGACGUUCCACCUGACCCGUCUUGAAAAACCGGGACAAAAA